GAUGGGCUGACUGGAGAGUGGGUAUUAAAUGUGAUAAAUGGGGUGGAAUGCCAUUGUCAACCAUCCCAAAAUGUCCCUACAGACAUUCUCCCACCUGCCAGCCAGCAGGUAAAACCCCUCUGCUGUAAAACGGUCAACCAUGAGCCAGCUGGCCAGUGCUUGCAAACCAGCUGAUACAAAGUUUUAAAAUAAAUGUAAAAAGCCUAUGUGACCAAACAGAGAGCAGCCAUUGACUGCCCACUGCCACUUAAAUCUAGUGACUGGGCACGGG